GUCUAUGGCCAUGCCACCCUGAACACGCCCGAUCUCGUCUGAUUUUGGAAGCUAAGCAGGGUCGGGCCUGGUUAGUACUUGGAUGGGAGACCAUCUAGGAAGACCAGGUGCUGUAGGCA
rfam:Pteropus alecto contig64322, whole genome shotgun sequence.